GAGGAACCUUUCAAAAAUUAACCUGAGAGCAGCUGGAAAAGGCUAGUCUUACACCUUUUCCUGUGAAUGGGACACAGUCAGGAUCCCCACAGUGCCAGUUUAGCACCCAACACUCUUACACUCUAUGUGAUGCCAGGCUUUGACCUUGGUAAAGGCUGUGCUGCCUCUCUGCCUGCUGCAGCUGGCUGGCACCUCUGAGAAGGCUGCCACGUCACACCUUGCUGGAGUCGGGGAGAAUGUGGUUCCAGGUGAGGCCUUUGAGGGUUUGAAUUUGGACUCUGAAAUGUCAUGUCAGAAGUCACCACAGAGGACAUUUCACCUGGCUGCAGAAAGACCCAUGUUAGCAGAAGGGAGGAGUGGUACAGGAGAUCAAAUCUGCUGCUUUCAGUGUUGUCAGCCUCAAAGGCAAAGAAGACUCAGGUCAGCCAAGGGAUUGAGAGCAGCUUUGAUUCCUCAUCUCCUGGUGAAAGAACUGAAGCAGCAGAAAGACUGAGAACCCUCUCACUGGAGUGGCAGGAGCUGCUGGUUAAAACUGAGUGGAGCCCAGCCACCAGUCUCACAUCGUGACUUAGACGGAUAAUUAGUCAGGU
rnacentral:lncRNA from 1 species